UACGGGGGGGGCAAGCGUUGUUCGGAAUUACUGGGCGUAAAGGGCUCGUAGGCGGCCAACUAAGUCAGACGUGAAAUCCCUCGGCUUAACCGGGGAACUGCGUCUGAUACUGGAUGGCUUGAGUUUGGGAGAGGAUGCGGAAUUCCAGGUGUAGCGGUGAAAUGCGUAGAUAUCUGGAGGAACACCGGUGGCGAAGGCGGCAUCCUGGACCACACUGACGCUGAGUGAGCGAAAGCCAGGGGAGCAAACGGG
rnacentral:rRNA from 1 species